ensembl:lncRNA
CUGGUUCCCCUGGAAGUAGUGUGGAAUGAUAAGCGUGAGCCCAGAAGGAGAGCUGCCAUUUUUUUGCAGCUCCUGCUUUGGGAACUACAGAAGGAGUAGAGGCUCUUUUAGCUCAAGCCUCCAGAAAUAUGGGUAGCAGAGGCGGCUGCUGUAGGUGUUGGAAACACGCAGUGGAGCUUUUGGCAACUGCUGUCUUGAGCAACUUUGGAAGUCAUCCAAUGCCCGUGGGCCGUACUUUAUUAGGCUGAGCAGCUCUGGGCCUGCAAGAAAGAGGAGGACUUUCUCAUCCCGAUGAGAAUGGGGCAGUGAAUGGAUUCCAAGUGUUUACUCAGCAUUUGUCUCGUGGUUUAUCAAAGGCAUGAGGAGGAGGUGCCGACAGACCUUUUGUCCCGCUGAUGUGUUAUGACAAUGUUCCAUGAAUAUGCAGAAUGGCAGAAGGGAUUAGAGCCAGUACAAUUCCCCUCCGGCACUGCUUUUUUUCCUCUUUUUUUCUCUUUUUUUUUUUUUGCCUGGGAUGUUCAGGGGUUUAAGGGUGACCUGCUUGCAGUCAGGGCACUAAACAUCAGAUUUCCCUGCAGAUAGGGGUGUAAAAAUCCCACACUUGUCCAAAGCUGUUAGCAUCUGGCUUGAAGGUUGGGCUGCCGUAGUUGCUGCUGCUCUUUAUGAAUCUCUGCCUGGCUGAAAGCUUUGUGUUGUAGGAGACAGGGGGAUAUUGGGGUGUAAUUAAAACCUGAGUCAAUCAGUGACACGUGAAGCCCAGGCCGAUGGUGAUGUGGCUGCUGCCUUUUGGUCUGCGCUGUUGGCAGUGCACUGCAGUGCUCUGCUGCAUCUCAAAGCCCUGGUCCCAGAAUUUCAGUGCUGUGCAGCCAGAGGUGCUGGCAUCAGUCAGUGAUGCUCCCUAUGUGUCCCUUCAUACAGGUUAAUGAGUUCAUGUGCCUCCAAGGCAGAUGAUGGAUGUUUUCAACGCAGAGAGGUGGGAGUGUUGGGUAUAAGCUCGUACUUUCCUCUUGUUUCUGAUCUUUCCUCUCCAAGUGAUGCUGUUGAGCUAUGGUCAGCAGCUGCCAGCUCCUCAAGUGCAUUCUGUGUUGCUGAGCAAAGAUAUCGCACCUGAAAAACACCCUCCAGUGGUCUCCUAAUUCAUAAGGCCCUUUCCCAUCCUGCUUCCCAAAUGGUUUGUUGGGGAGAUCCCCAAAUAUAUGAGGGGAAUGGUGACUCUGUAUCCUGCUUGGGCCUCCAGGGACUCUAGACCAUGGGGUCUCCACUUCUGGAGUAAGGCACUUUCUGAGCACGGGGCUGCAAAGUUUGCUAUUUGGGAGCACAUGGGGGGAAACAGCACUGAAAGAGGCAGAGUCUCCUGGCAGGUCCUGGCACUGCACUGCUGCAGCGUGCUCAGCACUUGCUGGAGUCCCUCUUCAGCCCCUUGGGAACACAGGCAGUGCCUGCCUUAAUGAAUUUUGAUGUCAUUAGCCCAAUGCCAGCUCUCAGCUGGUGGCCCGAGAGAGCAUUUGGCAAUGGCUUUGGUGUCUGCUGCGCCUGUGCCUGCUGAUGGAGGAUAUGUGCUGCUGUUUGCUUGAUUGUUUGGUCUCCUUUUGGUGGAGAGAUGACAAUGCGUCUCCAGUAGCCAAGGACCACAGUCUGGCUGUGCUGACAUCCUCUCUGUGGGCUCUGGCCAGCACUGGGGCUGUGCUCCUGGCAGCUGGCCAUCAUAGACCCAAAACUUUUCAGGUUUCUCUCUCAGGCAGCCAAGUUCUUGAGAUUAACUUAGGAAGAAAUGGGGCGUCCAUCCCCUCUGUCUGCUUUUUCACCACCAUGAGCAAUGCUAGGUCAUUCUUAGCCCUCUGGGGUAUGCAAGAAGGAUCGUGGUUUUCACACUGUGCUUUGCAACCAGGGCUUCUCAAC